AGCAGCCGCGGUAAUUCCAGCUCCAAUAGCGUAUAUUAAAGUUGUUGCAGUUAAAAAGCUCGUAGUUGAAUUUCGGGAUCAAUAUAUCGGUCGUGCCUUGGUACGUACUGGUAUCAUUGGUUUCUCCUUUCUGACGAACCAUGAUGUCAUUAAUUUGGUGUUAUGGGAAGUUAGGACUGUUACUUUGAAAAAAUUAGAGUGUUUAAAGCAGGCUUUAGCUUGAAUACAUUAGCAUGGAAUAAUGAAAUAGGACGUUCGAACCUAUUUUGUUGGUUUCUAGGAUCAACGUAAUGAUUAAUAGGGAUAGUUGGGGGCAUUAGUAUUCAAUUGUCAGAGGUGAAAUUCUUGGAUUUAUUGAAGACUAACUACUGCGAAAGCAUUUGCCAAGGAUGUUUUCAUUAAUCAAGAACGAAAGUUAGGGGAUCGAAGACGAUCAGAUACCGUCGUAGUCUUAACCAUAAACUAUGCCGACUAGGGAUCGGAUGAUGUUAAUUUUUUAAUGACUCAUUCGGCGCCUUAC
rnacentral:ncRNA from 3 species